rnacentral:rRNA from 1 species
CCUACGGGUGGCAGCAGUGGGGGAUAUUGGGCAAUGGGCGCAAGCCUGACCCAGCAACGCCGCGUGAAGGAAGAAGGCCUUCGGGUUGUAAAGUUCUGUUCUCAGGGAAGAAGAAGGUGACGGUAACGGAGGAAGAAGCGACGGCUAACGACGUGCCAGCAGCGGCGGUAAGACGUAGGGGGCAGGCGUUAGCAGGAUUUGCGGGGUGUGAAGGGGGAGGAGGCGGGUCUGCAAGGCAGUUGUGAAAACCCGGGGCUCAACCCCUAGACUGCAUUUGAAACUGGAGUUCUUGAGUACUGGAGAGGCAGGCGGAAUUCCUUGUGUAGCGGUGAAAUGCGUAGAUAUUAGGAGGAACACCAGUGGCGAAGGCGGUCUGCUGGACUGUACCUGACGCUCAGGCGCGAAAGCGUGGGGAGCAAACAGGAUUAGAUACCCCAGUAGUC